rnacentral:rRNA from 1 species
GAUGAACGCUGGCGGCGUGCUUAACACAUGCAAGUCGAACGGGAAACCUUUUAUUGAAGCUUCGGCAGAUUUCGCUGGUUUCUAGUGGCGGACGGGUGAGUAACGCGUGGGUAACCUGCCUUAUACAGGGGGAUAACAGUCAGAAAUGGCUGCUAAUACCGCAUAAGCGCACAGAGCUGCAUGGCUCAGUGUGAAAAACUCCGGUGGUAUAAGAUGGACCCGCGUUGGAUUAGCUGGUUGGUGGGGUAACGGCCCACCAAGGCGACGAUCCAUAGCCGGCCUGAGAGGGUGAACGGCCACAUUGGGACUGAGACACGGCCCAGACUCCUACGGGAAGCAGCAGUGGGGAAUAUUGCACAAUGGGGGAAACCCUGAUGCAGCGACGCCGCGUGAAGGAAGAAGUAUCUCGGUAUGUAAACUUCUAUCAGCAGGGAAGAUAAUGACGGUACCUGACUAAGAAGCCCCGGCUAACUACGUG